AGUGAACGCUGGCGGUAGGCCUAACACAUGCAAGUCGAACGGCAGCACAGUAAGAGCUUGCUCUUACGGGUGGCGAGUGGCGGACGGGUGAGGAAUACAUCGGAAUCUACUUUUUCGUGGGGGAUAACGUAGGGAAACUUACGCUAAUACCGCAUACGACCUACGGGUGAAAGCAGGGGAUCUUCGGACCUUGCGCGAUUGAAUGAGCCGAUGUCGGAUUAGCUAGUUGGCGGGGUAAAGGCCCACCAAGGCGACGAUCCGUAGCUGGUCUGAGAGGAUGAUGAGCCACACUGGAACUGAGAGACGGUAGAGAGUCCUCCGGGAGGAAGCAGUGGGGAAUAUUGGAAAAGGUGAGCAAGUUGGAACGAGCUAUACAGAGUGGGUGAAGAAGGCAUUCUGGUUGUAAAGCCCUCUUGUGGGGAAAGAAAAGCAGCAGGCUAAUAACUCGAUGUUAGGAGGGUAGCAAAAGAAGAAGCAAGGGCUAACUUCGUG
rnacentral:rRNA from 1 species